ACGAACGCUGGCGGCAGGCCUAACCCAUGCAAGUCGAGCGGACCCUUCGGGGUUAGCGGCGGACGGGUGAGUAACGCGUGGGAAUAUGCCCUUCUCUACGGAAUAGUCCUGGGAAACUGGGGGUAAUACCGUAUACGCCCUUUGGGGGAAAGAUUUAUCGGGGAAGGAUUAGCCCGCGUUGGAUUAGGUAGUUGGUGGGGUAAUGGCCUACCAAGCCGACGAUCCAUAGCUGGUUUGAGAGGAUGAUCAGCCACACUGGGACUGAGACACGGCCCAGACUCCUACGGGAGGCAGCAGUGGGGAAUCUUAGACAAUGGGGGCAACCCUGAUCUAGCCAUGCCGCGUGAGUGAUGAAGGCCUUAGGGUUGUAAAGCUCUUUCAGCUGGGAAGAUAAUGACGGUACCAGCAGAAGAAGCCCCGGCUAACUCCGUG
rnacentral:rRNA from 1 species